UACGGAGGGUCCGAGCGUUAUCCGGAUUUAUUGGGUUUAAAGGGUCCGUAGGCGGGCUAAUAAGUCAGUGGUGAAAUCCUACAGCUCAACUGUAGAACUGCCAUUGAAACUGUUAGCCUUGAAUAUAAUUGAAGUGGGCGGAAUGUGUCAUGUAGCGGUGAAAUGCUUAGAUAUGCCACAGAACACCGAUUGCGAAGGCAGCUCACUAAGUUAUUAUUGACGCUGAGGGACGAAAGCGUGGGUAGCGAACAGG
rnacentral:rRNA from 1 species